GGGAGCUUGCUCCUGGAUUCAGCGGCGGACGGGUGAGUAAUGCCUAGGAAUCUGCCUGGUAGUGGGGGAUAACGUCCGGAAACGGGCGCUAAUACCGCAUACGUCCUGAGGGAGAAAGUGGGGGAUCUUCGGACCUCACGCUAUCAGAUGAGCCUAGGUCGGAUUAGCUAGUUGGUGGGGUAAAGGCCUACCAAGGCGACGAUCCGUAACUGGUCUGAGAGGAUGAUCAGUCACACUGGAACUGAGACACGGUCCAGACUCCUACGGGAGGCAGCAGUGGGGAAUAUUGGACAAUGGGCGAAAGCCUGAUCCAGCCAUGCCGCGUGUGUGAAGAAGGUCUUCGGAUUGUAAAGCACUUUAAGUUGGGAGGAAGGGCAGUAAGUUAAUACCUUGCUGUUUUGACGUUACCAACAGAAUAAGCACCGGCUAACUUCGUGCCAGCAGCCGCGGUAAUACGAAGGGUGCAAGCGUUAAUCGGAAUUACUGGGCGUAAAGCGCGCGUAGGUGGUUCAGCAAGUUGGAUGUGAAAUCCCCGGGCUCAACCUGGGAACUGCAUCCAAAACUACUGAGCUAGAGUACGGUAGAGGGUGGUGGAAUUUCCUGUGUAGCGGUGAAAUGCGUAGAUAUAGGAAGGAACACCAGUGGCGAAG
rnacentral:rRNA from 1 species